AUACGGAGGAUCCGAGCGUUAUCCGGAUUUAUUGGGUUUAAAGGGUGCGCAGGCGGGAUGUUAAGUCGGCGGUGAAAUUUUGCAGCUCAACUGUAAAAAGUGCCUUCGAUACUGGCUUUCUUGAGUGUGGAUGAAGUAGGCGGAAUUUGUGGUGUAGCGGUGAAAUGCUUAGAUAUCACGAGGAACUCCGAUUGCGCAGGCAGCUUACUAAACCACUACUGACGCUCAUGCACGAAGGCGUGGGGAUC
rnacentral:rRNA from 1 species